rnacentral:rRNA from 1 species
UACGUAGGGUGCAAGCGUUGUCCGGAAUUAUUGGGCGUAAAGAGCUCGUAGGCGGUUUGUUGCGUCGGCUGUGAAAUCCCGAGGCUCAACCUCGGGUCUGCAGUCGAUACGAGCAAACUAGAGUGUUGCAGGGGAGACUGGAAUUCCUGGUGUAGCGGUGAAAUGCGCAGAUAUCUGGAGGAAUACCGGUGGCGAAGGCGGCAUCCUGGACCAUUCCUGACGCUGAGGCGCGAAAGCUAGGGGAGCAAACGGG